AUUGAACGCUGGCGGCAUGCCUUACACAUGCAAGUCGAACGGCAGCACGGGUGCUUGCACCUGGUGGCGAGUGGCGAACGGGUGAGUAAUACAUCGGAACAUGUCCUGUCGUGGGGGAUAGCCCGGCGAAAGCCGGAUUAAUACCGCAUACGAUCCACGGAUGAAAGCGGGGGACCUUCGGGCCUCGCGCUUUAGGGUUGGCCGAUGGCUGAUUAGCUAGUUGGUGGGGUAAAGGCCUACCAAGGCGACGAUCAGUAGCUGGUCUGAGAGGACGACCAGCCACACUGGGACUGAGACACGGCCCAGACUCCUACGGGAGGCAGCAGUGUGGAAUUUUGGACAAUGGGCGAAAGCCUGAUCCAGCAAUGCCGCGUGUGUGAAGAAGGCCUUCGGGUUGUAAAGCACUUUUGUCCGGAAAGAAAUCCUUGACUCUAAUACAGUCGGGGGAUGACGGUACCGGAAGAAUAAGCACCGGCUAACUACGUG
rnacentral:rRNA from 1 species